UACGAAGGGGGCUAGCGUUGCUCGGAAUCACUGGGCGUAAAGGGCGCGUAGGCGGCCUUCUAAGUCGGACGUGAAAUCCCUCGGCUCAACCGGGGAACUGCGUCCGAUACUGGAGGGCUUGAAUCCGGGAGAGGGAUGUGGAAUUCCAGGUGUAGCGGUGAAAUGCGUAGAUAUCAGGAGGAACACCGGUGGCGAAGGCGGGUCUCUGGGGCA
rnacentral:rRNA from 1 species